UACGAAGGGGGCUAGCGUUGUUCGGAUUUACUGGGCGUAAAGCGCACGUAGGCGGCCUGUUAAGUCGAACGUGAAAUCCCCGGGCUCAACCCGGGAACUGCGUCCGAUACUGGCAGGCUUGAAUCCGGGAGAGGGAUGCGGAAUUCCAGGUGUAGCGGUGAAAUGCGUAGAUAUCGGGAGGAACAUCAGUGGCGAAGGCGGCUACCUGGCCCAAUACUGACACUCAGGUGCGACAGCGUGGGGAGCAAACAGG
rnacentral:rRNA from 1 species